UACGGAGGAUCCAAGCGUUAUCCGGAUUUAUUGGGUUUAAAGGGAGCGUAGGCGGCCAAUUAAGUCAGGGGUGAAAGACGGUGGCUCAACCAUCGCAGUGCCUUUGAUACUGAUUGGCUUGAAUGUAGUUGAGGUAGGCGGAAUGUGACAAGUAGCGGUGAAAUGCAUAGAUAUGUCACAGAACACCGAUUGCGAAGGCAGCUUACUAAGCUAUGAUUGACGCUGAGGCUCGAAAGCGUGGGGAUCAAACAGG
rnacentral:rRNA from 1 species